UAUGCAUUGUAUCAUGAAAAUUUUAGAAGCGCGCAUUUCUUCCCUCUAAUUUUUUCACCAAAUAUUUUGAACAAAAUGUGUUUAUUCACAACCCUUCUUACGGAUUCUCACAGUACCCAAUCUACCCAUUCUUCAUUUUCCCCAUUUUCCCCCAAUUCUCAAUUUUCCCCAUCUUCUCACAUUCACAUAUUUGCUUCAAAAUCACGAAAAAAAUCAUGAAAAUAAGCAAAUAAAUCUGCGGAAGUAGACGAAGGCGACAGUCAGGAGGUGAUGGCUGAUAGCGGCAGUCAGGCGGUGGUGGCUGAUAGCGGUACAUAGUAUGUCGCUUCUUCCAAUCUUUCGUUCUUCGCUGCCUCACACCUCAGUCCUCACUGGCCUCCUGUAGUCCAGUAGAUCGACCGUUGCCCAUGAUUUGUCGUGCCUCAGUGCCUCACAGGAACUCGGCCGUCGUUGUUGCCACACCGUCGGCCGUCUUCGAUGCAACAAUGUCUUCUUCUCCUUUCAACCUUUUAUCUCUUUCCUCCUAAUCUUCACAAAAAUUAGGUGCAUGAGGAGUUAAAUGCAGCGGAAGAAUAGUGACUAGUCAUCUAACAAAUGGUGCAUAUAUGUUGGCGACUCUAAUUCAAGUUCCGGCUUUGUGAAGAUUUGGAAAUUUCGGCUUAUAUAUAUAUAUAUAUAUAUAUGUUGACAAUAUGUAUUUUGGACGAUUAAAUGCUUUAUAUAACUUUUAUUUUUUAUUAGUAGGGUAUGUCAUACCAAAAACAAGCGAGUAAUAUUUUGUAAUGUACGUAUUUCGCAUUAUAAUUAUUAUAUAUAAAUGAUACUUUAUUUUGUUUCUGUUAGUAUAUUUAGAUUUGUACUGACUAAUUAUAAAUAUAUUAAUUACCAUUCUAUCCCAACAAAAAAAAAAAAAGAUCAAUCCGUUGCAGUAGAUACGUACUCCUAUCAUUGUAUUAAUUAGCUUCAUCCGUUGCAAUAGGUUCAAUUUCAUCAUAAUUAUUAGUC